AUGCAUUGAGAUUGCAUAGAGGAACCACCAACAAAGUCUCUGGAGGUGGAUCAGUUGCAGCUGGGUGACGGAAUGGUGACUACGCGAUCAGAUGGAUUGCCUAAGAGAGACGCCUCUACAUGGACAGAUCGUCCCUGUAUCGAUGUCUCUCUUAGCCAAUCAUGCUCGUCGCGUAGGGCCAGAGUAUCUAACGUCCGCCAUAGAAUGGCCUGAGAACCGUGGCGCAGAUGGAAAGUAUCCCAAAGGUUACAAGCUGAACAAUGGCUCCCACAUCAAGGCGGUCAAUGGGACCUUCAUCACAGCCUCUGGAUGUGGAUCACCUGCGGCAUUGUGACGGAUCUAUGUCUACGUUAAUGAUGUGUCUUCCAUCUUGCCCCGUUAACUUAGAGGUAUCCUGGACAUCCGCUAGGCGACUCUCUACCGACAUCACUGCAGUAGAAUCAUGGAGAUGUGCGUACUUUGGCCCUUGUUCCGCAUUCUUCAUCUCACUGAACUCCACAUCACUUCAGUAAUCAGCAUUGCCUCCAGAAAGAAAUUUGCCUCCAGGCUCUCCACUUGCAACUUGCUGUUCUAUGGGUGCAAGCUAAUAUUGUACUCCGGUAGUCUAUGAUAGAUGUCUCGCAAGACAUUCACUUGUGUGUUUAGAUAGACCAGGUUACUGUGCAACCCUUCAAUCUGUGUAUCCAGCAUUGUCAACACUUUCACGAUUGAAUAGUUUCCACAUUCUUCUAUACUAGUUGUUCCCUUUAUUAGAGGCUCUGACUAUGUCCUCGUCUCUCUUGGCCAACUAGCUCUCUCGCGUAGGGCCACAUGCAGACCUGCGGGAAGAUCACCUCCAGCAGCAUUUGUUUCAAUCGUCUCCUCAUUAAAUUAGCCAUGGAAGAUUGUGCUUUGA